rnacentral:rRNA from 1 species
UACGUAGGUGGCAAGCGUUGUCCGGAUUUAUUGGGUUUAAAGGGUGCGUAGGCGGUUCAAUAAGUCAGUGGUGAAAUACGGCAGCUCAACUGUCGAGGUGCCAUUGAUACUGUAGAACUUGAGUACAGACGAGGUAGGCGGAAUUGACGGUGUAGCGGUGAAAUGCUUAGAUAUCGUCAAGAACACCGAUUGCGAAGGCAGCUUACUAAAGUGUGAUUGACGCUGAGGCACGAAAGCGUGGGGAUCAAACAGG